AAGUGUUACAUGGUGCAUGAAUGUCACAACAUAUGUACAGUUUAUAUCAUACAGGGGAAUGGGAGUUGGGAAAUGCAUGCCUUCCAACCUUAUUUCUCCCACACACGGAUUCCAUUGGUAUAAAUUUCGACAUCUGUUUCCUAGGAAUUGGUCUAAUCUCGACAACCAACAGGGGGUUUUGAGAUUGACGAUAUAAACUCUCGGAAAUGAAUGCGGCAUUUCAA
rnacentral:lncRNA from 1 species